AGCCUCUCACACAAACAAGGGCGGUUAUGCGAAACCGGCAGGCGAGAUAACCGCGUAGAUUUCUGCUCGUCAAAAGUCUAUUCUUGUGACGACACUCCCAAAUUGCUCUCGGCUCUCCCCGACUCACAAGUUGUUUUGUUGUGUGGGCCGUGCGCAUGCAGAGAUAAAUAGCGAGCAGCCACGCACACCAUUUCGGACCAUCGUUCGGACACGUCGCGCAUUCUGCACUUGUGCGUGUGAGCAGCUCUUAGGCAGACGACCAAUUCGCAUCUCCUUCCAAGACAAAAUCUACCAUGGCUUCUGAAAACAUGAACGGAUCUAAAGGCCGCUCCGGCGCUUCCUCUCGCUCUUCCCUCCUGGUCCUGCUCUGCGUCAUGGUGAUCACCCUGAGCCUGUUCGCCUGCAGUCUGGCACAGGAUGUUCCCAAGAGGCGGAGGGUCCCACUCCCCCUGGACCGCUGCAUGUACGCCUGUCACGGCCCCUUCUCCGACUGCUACAGGAACUACACGACAAGCGCCGAGGCCAAUCUGUGUAUCGACACCUUCAACACCUGUUUCCAGAACUGCUACCGUCUGUACUAAACAAACAGCAACAACAACAACAACAACAACAACAACAACGACGACGACGAAAACAACAACCACAUUAAAAACAACUAAAAACAACAGCAACAAUAUCAACAGCGUGUGGACAUGAUACCCAACUAGAUUUCACAGGAACUGCUCUAGACACCACAUUCCUCACGUCUAUAACGGUGACUUUUUAGUCUUGCUCAGUAUUAAAACAAAUCCAAAAAGAAGCCACCCUUCCUGACACUGAUGAUGGUACUACCAAGUACUUGACGACGUUCAACGAACUUUGGUUCAAUUUGUUUUCAUGUGACCACGACCCUCAACAAAGAAUCUCUUGGCCAGAAAGGAAGAAAGAAAAAAAUGGUCACGAUAAAUCGAUUUGGCACUAACUUUCCCGGUUUUAUCUUAUCUUUCAUAUUUUCUCCUUUAACGUUCACAAAAACACACACCAAUCAUCCGAAACAUACUCGCAGUUCUCAUUUUGGGUCGUUGCCAUCUGUUUUGGAAUUGAUAAUUUGCACAACUGAGCACUUGUGUGGAAAAUAUGAAAGUAAGAUUUUGCUUCUUUAGUCUUGUAUCCCUCUCGAUAGAAGGCUGACACGACUUCUCAAUAAUUUAUCCCUGUUCUGUACGACUGCAAGUGACUGUAGAGACUGAUCGAGACAUGACAUGAAUCUUCUGUGUUGCAAAAAAAAUAGAAUGAAUGGAAUAUCUGUGCGUAUGAGAGAGCUGUUGAAUCGAAUGGACUGACUGUGUGCGCCUGUUUUAUCAACCUCUUUCUUUUCCUACUUUAUUGUACAUGUACCUAUGCUAACCUUAUAAAUCUGAGAAAAAAACAA